rnacentral:rRNA from 1 species
CAGUCGCCGCGGUAAUACAGAGGGUGCGAGCGUUAAUCGGAUUUACUGGGCGUAAAGCGUGCGUAGGCGGCUUUUUAAGUCGGAUGUGAAAUCCCUGAGCUUAACUUAGGAAUUGCAUUCGAUACUGGGAAGCUAGAGUAUGGGAGAGGAUGGUAGAAUUCCAGGUGUAGCGGUGAAAUGCGUAGAGAUCUGGAGGAAUACCGAUGGCGAAGGCAGCCAUCUGGCCUAAUACUGACGCUGAGGUACGAAAGCAUGGGGAGCAAACAGGAUUAGAGACCCGUGUAGUCCCUGUCUCUUAUAA